UACGUAGGGGGCUAGCGUUAUCCGGAAUUACUGGGCGUAAAGGGUGCGUAGGUGGUUUCUUAAGUCAGAGGUGAAAGGCUACGGCUCAACCGUAGUAAGCCUUUGAAACUGGGGAACUUGAGUGCAGGAGAGGAGAGUGGAAUUCCUAGUGUAGCGGUGGAAUGCGUAGAUAUAUGGAGGAACACCGGUGGCGAAAGCGGCUCUCUGGCCUGUAACUGACACUGAGGCUCGAAAGCGUGGGGAGCAAACAGG
rnacentral:rRNA from 1 species